UUAUACAGUUCUUAACGUUAAUAUAUUAUUAUUGAUUAAUUAAUAAUUAAAAGUGUGAAAUGCAAGCCUGUGGGAGAAUGACAUCGAUUGAAAAAAAGCCUUCGAUUGACACAGUAAAUUCGUCUGAGAACGUUUUUACUUUUCUUACCGCAAGAGCAAGCUCGGCCACUUCUAGUGUUAUUACAGUUACUUUGAUGAUCACUGCGAUGUUGCAUAUCCCACUCACUGAUAAUUUUUUGAUCGAGCGAAAAUAUAUACCGCUAUGUACUCACGUACAGUUAUUUAGGGCCCAAUCUAAUUGCCAAUAUAGUCGUUCUGAUCGCCGUUGGGACGAAAAAUACAAAUCACCUUAAAUGGGGCUUAAACGUUGCGUUCGUCUGUUUUUUCUAUUGGUUAUUCCUUUCAACCAUAAGUUAUAUAUCGGUUCAUGACUUAUUCAGGUUUGUCUGUUUUGAAAAUCACUGCCCUGAGAUCCAUUGGAUGUUUAAUACAAAAUGGAGAGAUUACGGAAUCAAAUGCCCCUAUCACAUGACUUACCCCAACGGGACUGGGGACCUUGAUAAUAAAGAUGGCCUCGUUCUACGAAUAUCUUACGGCAGUCCAAAAGGAAGCCAGAACGAUUUAAAAGCUUACUACACUGGCUGCGAAAGCUACACAUCCGGGCCGAUGGCGAUCUCGACCGUGUUGGGGCUAGUUUGGCUUCGUGAGUAUUUCCGACCUGAGAACCCGACAACUUGAUCGGCGUUCUUAUUUUCAGUGUUCGCCAUCCAUUCGUUCAAAACGAUAAGAAAGCUUCAUGUAAUUUUAUCUCAAGAGGAACAGUCGAAAUGAGUACAAAUAAAUUCAAGAAAGAUGGGAUCCUUGAAAUAAAACAAACCACUCAACGAUUUAAUAA
rnacentral:misc_RNA from 1 species